rnacentral:tRNA from 1 species
GGGACCGUAGUCUAGCUUGGCAUGAUUCUGGUUUUGGGUACCAGAGGCCGCAGGUUCAAAUCCUGCCGGUCCCACCA